rnacentral:rRNA from 1 species
UACGUAGGGGGCAAGCGUUGUCCGGAAUCAUUGGGCGGAAAGAGCGUGUAGGCGGCCCGAUAAGUCCGCCGUGAAAGUCCACGGCUCAACCCUGGAAUGCCGGUGGAAACUGUCGGGCUGGAGUCCGGAAGAGGCGAGUGGAAUUCCUGGUGUAGCGGUGAAAUGCGUAGAUAUCAGGAGGAACACCAAUGGCGAAGGCAGCUCGCUGGGACGGUACUGACGCUGAGACGCGAAAGCGUGGGGAGCAAACAGG